rnacentral:rRNA from 1 species
UACGUAGGGGGCAAGCGUUGUCCGGAUUUAUUGGGCGUAAAGAGCGUGUAGGCGGUUUGGUAGGUCCGCUGUGAAAACUCGAGGCUCAACCUCGAGACGCCGGUGGAAACCAUCAGACUAGAGUCCGGAAGAGGAGAGUGGAAUUCCUGGUGUAGCGGUGAAAUGCGCAGAUAUCAGGAAGAACACCCGUGGCUAAGGCGGCUCUCUAGUACGGUACUGACGCUGAGGAGCGAAAGCAUGGGGAGCGAACAGG